rnacentral:rRNA from 1 species
GGGCCCGCACAAGCGGUGGAGCAUGUGGUUUAAUUCGAUGCAACGCGAAAAACCUUACCUGGCCUUGACAUGUACCGAAUUUAGCAGAGAUGCUUUAGUGCUCGUAAGAGAACGGUAACACAGGUGCUGCAUGGCUGUCGUCAGCUCGUGUCGUGAGAUGUUGGUUAAGUCCCGCAACGAGCGCAACCCUUGCCAUUAAUUGCCAUCAUUUAGUUGGGCACUUUAAUGGGACUGCCGGUGACAAACCGGAGGAAGGUGGGGAUGACGUCAAGUCCUCAUGGCCCUUAUGGCCAGGGCUUCACACGUAAUACAAUGGACGGUACAGAGGGACGCCAACCGCGAGGGGAGCC